rnacentral:rRNA from 1 species
CCUACGGGAGGCAGCAGUGGGGAAUAUUGCACAAUGGGCGAAAGCCUGAUGCAGCAACGCCGCGUGAAGGAAGAAGGGUUUCGGCUCGUAAACUUCUAUCAACAGGGACGAAAGAAAUGACGGUACCUGAAUAAGAAGCCCCGGCUAACUACGUGCCAGCAGCCGCGGUAAUACGUAGGGGGCAAGCGUUAUCCGGAAUUACUGGGUGUAAAGGGUGAGUAGGCGGCAUGGUAAGCCAGAUGUGAAAGCCUUGGGCUUAACCCGAGGAUUGCAUUUGGAACUAUCAAGCUAGAGUACAGGAGAGGAAAGCGGAAUUCCUAGUGUAGCGGUGAAAUGCGUAGAUAUUAGGAAGAACACCAGUGGCGAAGGCGGCUUUCUGGACUGAAACUGACGCUGAGGCACGAAAGCGUGGGGAGCGAACAGGAUUAGAUA